UCACUCCGCUUUCUUUUCUGGUUUAAAAAAAAAAAAAAAAAAGGAAGCAGAUAUUGCUUUUCGAAGUGUUUUGUAGGUAACCGAGGCAAGAAAACCAGAAGGCAGCGGGCGCAGUUCCGUGCGGGGCCGGGAGCUGAGGCGGCGGGCGGUCCCCACGGAGGCGCGUCUCCAGCCCAGGCGGGCGCGGGGCCCGGGGCCCGGGGCACGGGGCGCGGCGGGGGCACGGCUGCGGCUUUGACCUGGGCACGCUCUGGAAACGCCCGCCACAGCGUCGCUGGACUUACCCACCAUCACGUUACCCAGGCCAGGGCCGUCUUGGGGACACCAGCCCCAGCGAAGGAAGACCUUGAGCUAUUUCAAAGCGCAGACACCUCGAUUCCCCGAAUUUGUUGUGUGGCCGGUAUCGGUGUUCCCCUGGUUUAACUAGCCAGUCUGAAGGCACAGAUCAUUCUUGGGGAAGUACCAACGAAGCCAGUUCUCCCCCCCCCCCCACGGGGUCUCCAUUUGCCCAGUCUACCUUUGGCUGUGACUCCAGAAAGACAAACUUCUGAUUGGCCAAGGCCCAGAGUAAAUGCCACCUCCUCCAGGAAGCCUUUCCAGCGACCAAAACAGCGGUGGAGGCGGACGUCGUCCCGAAGGGCACAGACCUUCAUCUCCAAGCCCUCGGGAGAAGCAGGGGAAGGCUCCUCGGCUGGACUGCGCGUCCGAGGGCUCCGCAUCGCCGGCGUGGGAUGGAGAGCGGGGACCCAGCCCGGCCUGGUCUCCCCUGGCCCCUCCGCCUCCUGAGCUGUGGAGCAACAGCUGGCCGGGCGGACGCCGCGGACUGGUCUCUCUAAGCCUUGGUUUCCGCAUCUGAGCAAUGGGGUAGCUACGCCGGCCGCGAGGAUGCGCAUGAAAGAUGAAUGAGAUCAAGGCGCGCGCGGGGAUGGAUGCCGGACGCACAGGCUGCGCGCAAUAAAUGUGUUUUCUCUUC